UAGACCUCAAAUCAGUCAGGACUACCCGCUGAACUUAAGCAUAUCAAUAAGCGGAGGAAAAGAAACUAACAAGGAUUCCCCUAGUAACGGCGAGUGAAGUGGGAAAAGCUCAACUUUGAAAUCUGGCACCUUCGGUGUCCGAGUUGUAGUCUCAAGAAGUGUUUUCUGUGCCGGCCCGUGUAUGAGUCUGUUGGAACACAGCGUCAUAGAGGGUGACAACCCCGUUCAUGACACGGAUCCCGGUGCUUUGUGAUACACUCUCGAAGAGUCGAGUUGUUUGGGAAUGCAGCUCAAAUUGGGUGGUAAAUUCCAUCUAAAGCUAAAUAUUGGCGAGAGACCGAUAGCAAACAAGUACCGUGAGGGAAAGAUGAAAAGCACUUUGGAAAGAGAGUUAACAGUACGUGAAAUUGUUGAAAGGGAAACGAUUGAAGUCAGACGUGCGUGAUGCGGUUCAGCUCUGGUUCGCCAGAGUGUACUCCGUAUCUUUGCAGGCCAACAUCAGUUUCGCGAGUCGGAUAAAGGUUAGAGGAAUGUGGCACCUCCGGGUGUGUUAUAGCCUCUGACUGAAUACGAUUUGUGGGACUGAGGAACGCAGCGCGCCGCAAGGCAAAGGUUUCGACCUUUUCGCGCUUAGGAUGUUGGUGAAAUGGCUUUAAACGACCCGUCUUGAAACACG
rnacentral:rRNA from 1 species